UACGUAGGGUGCAAGCGUUAAUCGGAAUUACUGGGCGUAAAGCGUGCGCAGGCGGUUAUGUAAGACAGGUGUGAAAUCCCCGGGCUUAACCUGGGAACUGCAUUUGUGACUGCAUGGCUAGAGUACGGUAGAGGGGGAUGGAAUUCCGCGUGUAGCAGUGAAAUGCGUAGAUAUGCGGAGGAACACCGAUGGCGAAGGCAAUCCCCCUGGACCUGUACUGACGCUCAUGCACGAAAGCGUGGGGAGCAAACAGG
rnacentral:rRNA from 1 species